UACCUUAAGGCAAAAUGCUCUGGGUGAC
rnacentral:piRNA from 1 species